rnacentral:ncRNA from 19 species
UAAUUGGCUCGAGCAGUUGCUAUUUUUUUAUUGUCGAACAAUAAUAGUAUUUGAACCCUCGAGAGUAAAUCCUUUUCUC